rnacentral:rRNA from 1 species
UGGGGAAUAUUGGACAAUGGGCGCAAGCCUGAUCCAGCCAUGCCGCGUGAGUGAUGAAGGCCCUAGGGUUGUAAAGCUCUUUCACCGGUGAAGAUAAUGACGGUAACCGGAGAAGAAGCCCCGGCUAACUUCGUGCCAGCAGCCGCGGUAAUACGAAGGGGGCUAGCGUUGUUCGGAUUUACUGGGCGUAAAGCGCACGUAGGCGGACUUUUAAGUCAGGGGUGAAAUCCCGGGGCUCAACCCCGGAACUGCCUUUGAUACUGGAAGUCUUGAGUAUGGUAGAGGUGAGUGGAAUUCCGAGUGUAGAGAUGAAAUUCGUAGAUAUUCGGAGGAACACCAGUGGCGAAGGCGGCUCACUGGACCAUUACUGACGCUGAGGUGCGAAAGCGUGGGGAGCAAACAGG